UACGAAGGGUGCAAGCGUUACUCGGAAUUACUGGGCGUAAAGCGUGCGUAGGUGGUUUGUUAAGUCUGAUGUGAAAGCCCUGGGCUCAACCUGGGAAUUGCAUUGGAUACUGGCAGGCUAGAGUGCGGUAGAGGGUAGUGGAAUUCCCGGUGUAGCAGUGAAAUGCGUAGAUAUCGGGAGGAACACCAGUGGCGAAGGCGACUACCUGGACCAGCACUGACACUGAGGCACGAAAGCGUGGGGAGCAAACAGG
rnacentral:rRNA from 1 species